rnacentral:rRNA from 1 species
GCAAUCAAUAAACAUUUAUUUAAAGCAUUUAAAGCUAAGCAGGGUCGGUCCUGGUUAGUACUUGGAUGGGAGACCACCUAGGAAGACCAGGUGCUGUAGGCA